rfam:Gossypium hirsutum cultivar TM-1 chromosome 8, whole genome shotgun sequence
AUAACGGCGUUUUUAUAAAAAACGCCAUAAAAAAUUAACAAUAACGGCGUUU